rnacentral:lncRNA from 1 species
CUGGUCAUGGAUAAAUCGUCAAACCUCAACAUUAGUCAUAUGAUAGAUUCGAUUAGCUCAAGUUCAGUUGUAACUUCUAUGAAAACUCUUUUCCAUCAAUCAUACUGGUGUGGCCACAGACUCAUGAACUUAGCCUCUCAAAUCUCAUAGGACUACUUUUCUCUAUCAAGAUCGAUAGAUCCUAUCUUGAUGCGCACUCUACUUCUACAGU